rnacentral:tRNA from 1 species
GCUCGAUUAGCUCAGUUGGUUAGAGCACCGUGCUAAUACACGUUCCACGACACGCGGGGGUCGCAGGUUCGAUCCCUGCAUUGAGCA